AAAUUUCUUAAGAAGAUAAUGUUCCCAGGAGCACUCUCCACAAACUUCCAGCAUGCCAAUCUCCAUCUCAAAAUUUGCUUCUCUGGGAAUGCAACCUGUGGUGUUGCUCAAUCAAACUGUUCCUGUAGACACAUUACACCCACAUUAGGUGUCUGAUGGACUGAAUUGUGACCCCCACCCCAAAUUCAUGUUGAAACUUUAACACCAAGGAACUCCA
rnacentral:lncRNA from 1 species